CCUACGGGUGGCUGCAGUGGGGAAUAUUGGGCAAUGGGCGCAAGCCUGACCCAGCAACGCCGCGUGAAGGAAGAAGGCUUUCGGGUUGUAAACUUCUUUUAUGAGGGACGAAGAAAGUGACGGUACCUCAGGAAUAAGCCACUGCUAACUACGUGCCAGCCGCCGCGGUAAUACGUAGGUGGCAAGCGUUAUCCGGAAUUAGUGGGUGUAAAGGGCGUGUAGGCGGGAAAGAAAGUCAGAUGUGAAAACUCAGGGCUCAACCCUGAGCCUACAUUUGAAACUGUUUUUCUUGAGUGCUGGAGAGGCAAUCGGAAUUCCGGGUGUAGCGGUGAAAUGCGUAGAUAUACGGAGGAACACCAGUGGCGAAGGCGGAUUGCUGGACAGUAACUGACGCUGAGGCGCGAAAGCGUGGGGAGCAAACAGGAUUAGAUACCCUAGUAGUC
rnacentral:rRNA from 1 species